rnacentral:rRNA from 1 species
GACGAACGCUGGCGGCGUGCUUAACACAUGCAAGUCGAACGGAAAGGCCCUGCUUUUGUGGGGUGCUCGAGUGGCGAACGGGUGAGUAACACGUGAGUAACCUGCCCUUCACUUUGGGAUAACUUCAGGAAACUGGGGCUAAUACCGGAUAGGAGCUCCUGCUGCAUGGUGGGGGUUGGAACGUUUCGGCGGGUGGGGAUGGACUCGCGGCUUAUCAGCUUGUUGGUGGGGUAGUGGCUUACCAAGGCUUUGACGGGUAGCCGGCCUGAGAGGGUGACCGGCCACAUUGGGACUGAGAUACGGCCCAGACUCCUACGGGAGGCAGCAGUGGGGAAUAUUGCACAAUGGGCGGAAGCCUGAUGCAGCAACGCCGCGUGCGGGAUGACGGCCUUCGGGUUGUAAACCGCUUUCGCCUGUGACGAAGCGUGAGUGACGGUAAUGGGUAAAGAAGCACCGGCUAACUACGUG